GAUGAACGCUGGCGGCGUGCCUAAUACAUGCAAGUCGAGCGAACGGACGAGAAGCUUGCUUCUCUGAUGUUAGCGGCGGACGGGUGAGUAACACGUGGAUAACCUACCUAUAAGACUGGGAUAACUUCGGGAAACCGGAGCUAAUACCGGAUAAUAUUUUGAACCGCAUGGUUCAAAAGUGAAAGACGGUCUUGCUGUCACUUAUAGAUGGUUCCGGGCUGCAUUAGCUAGUUGGUAAGGUAACGGCUUACCAAGGCAACGAUGCAUAGCCGACCUGAGAGGGUGAUCGGCCACACUGGAACUGAGACACGGUCCAGACUCCUACGGGAGGCAGCAGUAGGGAAUCUUCCGCAAUGGGCGAAAGCCUGACGGAGCAACGCCGCGUGAGUGAUGAAGGUCUUCGGAUCGUAAAACUCUGUUAUUAGGGAAGAACAUAUGUGUAAGUAACUGUGCACAUCUUGACGGUACCUAAUCAGAAAGCCACGGCUAACUACGUG
rnacentral:rRNA from 1 species